rnacentral:rRNA from 1 species
AGAAUCAACGCUGGCGGCGUGCCUAACACAUGCAAGUCGCACGAGAAAGCGGGAGCAAUCCUGCAAGUAAAGUGGCGUACGGGUGAGUAACACGUGAAUCAUCUACCUUCGAGUGGGGAAUAACUGAGAGAAAUCUUAGCUAAUACCGCAUAAUACCCACGGGUCAAAGCAGCAAUGCGCUUGAAGAGGAGUUCGCGGCAGAUUAGUUAGUUGGCGGGGUAAUGGCCCACCAAGACGAUGAUCUGUA